AUGAUUUCUACAAGUGAAGGAGUGCAUCUAUUUAUAGAGCUAAAGACCUCCUCUUGAUGUCAUUGCUGACAUCAAACUACCUCCUCUUGAUGUCAUGGGUGACAUUAAAGGAGGAAGCUUCCUCCUAGCAUCCACACCAACUCUUUCCACCAACUCUUCCAAUUGGCAUGCCAUUGUUGACUAAACAUAAACCAACAUUUUCAGCAUGCCAUUGUUAACUAAACAUAAACCAACAUUUUCACAAGAAAGU
rnacentral:lncRNA from 1 species